rnacentral:tRNA from 1 species
GCGCCCGUAGCUCAGUGGACAGAGCAAUCGCCUUCUAAGUGAUUGGCCGUGGGUUCGAGUCCCGCCGGGCGCGCCU